rnacentral:rRNA from 1 species
AGUAACGCGUGGAUUAUCUGCCCUGAGGUGGGGGAUAACCCGGGGAAACUCGGGCUAAUACCGCAUAUGACCGUGAGGUCAAAGGGGGGUCGCAAGAUCUCUCGCCAUAGGAGGAGUCCGCGUUCGAUUAGCUAGUUGGUAGGGUAAUGGCCUACCAAGGCGAAGAUGCUUAGCGGGUGUGAGAGCACGACCCGCGCCACUGGCACUGCGACACUGGCCAG